rnacentral:piRNA from 1 species
UGUUAAUGGCUUUCAAGACAACAGGGAG